GUCUACAGCUAUGCCACCGUGAACAAGCCCAAUUCUGUCUGAUCUCGGAAGCUAAGCAGGGUCAGGCCUGGUUAGUCUUGGAUGGGAGACCUCCUAGAAAGACAAAGUGCUGUAGGUG
rnacentral:rRNA from 1 species